GGUGGAGCGAUUUGUCUGGUUAAUUCCGAUAACGAACGAGACUCUGGCCUAUUAAAUAGACGGUAUAUUUAAAAGUAUAUCGCACUUCUUAGAGGGACAAGCGGCGUCUAGCCGCAUGAAAUAGAGCAAUAACAGGUCUGUGAUGCCCUUAGAUGUCCGGGGCUGCACGCGCGCUACACUGAAAGAAUCAGUGGGCGUGAUACCUAGUUCGGAAGGACUGGGUAACCCAAGUAAAUUCUUUCGUGCUUGGGAUAGGGAAUUGCAAUUAUUUCCCUUAAACGAGGAAUUCCCAGUAAAUGCGGGUCAUAAGCUCGCGUUGAU
rnacentral:rRNA from 1 species